UCCGCAUUGGUCCAGUGGUCAGGAUCCUACGCUUUCACCGUGGUGGCCAGGGUUCGAUUCCCUGAUGCGGAG